AAGGACCUCCUGCCCACCAGGAGCCCCGUGCUGGCGGAGGAGGCUGUCAGUCCUUCCACCGUAGCAGGUAUAUUUGGUCUAAAAACAUUGUCAGCAUAAGCACCACAAGCAGCGGACAGAAGUUAGAGGAAGAUGAAGAGUGUUAGUAGCAGCUGCAGGAGGGGCUGUCACCUUGCACUUUGCCUGAAAUUUAAUCUCACGGCCUUGCUGAGAAAGAACACAUCUUCUGAAGAUAUUUGAACAUGAUAGCCAAGAAGACUGAACAGUUUUUGAAGAAGCAGCGGACCAUGCAGCUGAAGAGAUGCAAUAGGUUUUCAGAGAACUGAAUCCUUGCACAUCCUUCAGAUGAAUAAGCCCACCCUUCUGAAGAGUUUGGUUCAGGCUUUGUACAUCAAACAAACUUCAGUGAAGUUAUUUGUGCCUCACACAAGUGAUUUGUAUCUUGGAUUGUGUUUCAGC
rnacentral:lncRNA from 1 species